ACACCAUCCAGAGCGGCCGAGAGACCUGGCUCGACGACGCCGCAGCAACCCCCCGCCCGAGCGGGUGCGGGUGCUAAAGCCGGGAGCGAUGGAGG
rnacentral:ncRNA from 2 species